UGAGCUGACAAUUUGAGAUGGGUGUGCUGGGGUUAUCUGCAGUGUCAGUUCAGUCAGAGAUGAACUGAACUCCAUUUCUCUGGCUGGAAGUCUAAACCAACAGAGACCUUGGAGAUAAUGAGGUAUUUAACGGGUUCCCCCUUUUCCUUGCAGGAGAUCUCAUCUUUCCUCGAAGAAUGAGAGCUUGAAAGGAAAAGGAAAGGAAAAAAAGGAAACUACAAAGGGGAAAAUAAAGCAGAUGUAAAGGGAAAUUUGCUCAGUAAAUUAACUAUAAGAGCUGCAUUAAUGCAAUCGAACUAAUGGCACAUUUUCCUCCUCAGUUGGAACAACAAAGUCAGAUAAACCACACCACCCUCUUGUCUCCCAGGCUGUGGUUCAUGGAGAACUGGAAGACUACAGAGGGCUUGCUGGAGUCCUUGGAGAGGAGCUGUUUAUGGACCAGAGCUGAAAGGCCAAGACUCUGAGCAUCACAUUGGUUUUAAAUUGAGAAGAUGUUGUAUGAAAUCCAGCUUUAUUACCCAUGUGCGGGCAGAAGAAAGGUAAAGAGCUGUCUCCAAGGAGUGGUGACUCUGCCCUGCUGCCUUGUUCACAGGCUGUGCAAGGACACAAUUUCAUUUCAUGAGGAAAUUUCAUUUGGGCCUGUGGAAAAAUCCUAUUUCUCACCUGUGCCCAGGUGAGCAGCGGCUGCGCUCUGCCUGCGGCUGCUCCCCGGUCCCGGCGCUGUUCCCGGCUGCGAGGGAGCCUCGCCCUUAUCGGCAGCAUCUGAAACGUCCUCAGGAUCUCUCAGCAUCUCCUCGCCAGUCGGGAGGGUGUUUUUAAUCACUCCCGACAGGAAAUAGCAUGCUGCAUUUAAAUACUGUAUAUAAUUAUCAUGGGAAAUAUAAUUAGGAAGUGUAAUUAAAUGGGCUUGAAUGUAUAUCAGGCUGUUUCUUGAUUUUUCACUCGAUCCAGCUGUUUCUCACAGGCUCUUUACUUUGAGCACUGGUGGUCUGUGACAGAACCUCUGCACAGAAUGGAGGAAGAAUUACUUCUUUAAAGGCUGUUCAUUUAAUCUAACUAGGCCAAUUUAUUUAAA
rnacentral:lncRNA from 1 species